UCCUACGGGAGGCAGCAGUGGGGAAUAUUGCGCAAUGGGGGAAACCCUGACGCAGCGAUACCGCGUGGGUGAAGAAGGUCUUCGGAUUGUAAAGCCCUUUCAGCAGGAACGAUGAUGACGGUACCUGCAGAAGAAGCCCCGGCUAACUCCGUGCCAGCAGCCGCGGUAAUACGGAGGGGGCGAGCGUUGUUCGGAAUGACUGGGCGUAAAGGGCGCGUAGGCUGCUCUGCAAGUCAGGAGUGAAAUCCCUGGGCUUAACCGAGGAAUUGCUUUUGAAACUACGGAGCUGGAGGCCGGCAGAGGGUGGCGGAAUUCCCCGUGUAGAGGUGAAAUUCGUAGAUAUGGGGAGGAACACCAGAGGCGAAGGCGGCUGCCUGGACCGGAUCUGACGCUGAGGCGCGAAAGCGUGGGGAGCAAACAGGAUUAGAUACCCUGGUAGUCCACGCUGUAACGAUGAGUGCUAGUUGUCGCGGGUAUCGACCCUGCGGCAACGCAGCUAACGCGAUAAGCACUCCGCCUGGGGAGUACGGCCGCAAGGCUAAAACUCAAGGAAUUGACG
rnacentral:rRNA from 1 species